rnacentral:rRNA from 1 species
AUGGGCUCGCUCCCGGUGCUCUCCCCGGCGGAAUGCGCGCCGCCGCCGACGGAGGGGACGCGGGCGACGGUGGCGGCGUCGGACCUGGCCGCGCUCUUCGACGCGCAGCGCCGCCACCUCGACCACUUCUUCGACCGGCUCGACAUGCCGCAGGCGGCGGCGUUCGCGCAGGCGCUGCUCGACGCGCCCGGGGCCGUCUUCUUCACCGGCGUCGGCAAGUCCGGCAUCGUGGCCCGCAAGCUGGCGCAGACGCUCGCCUCCCUCGGCUUCGCACGCGCCGGGUUCCUCUCCCCCGUCGACGCGCUCCACGGCGACAUCGGCUCCGUCUUCCCCGGGGACGUCCUCGUGCUGCUCUCCAAGUCCGGCGCCUCCGACGAGCUGCUCGCGCUCGCCCCCUGCGCGCGCGCCAAGGGCGCGCAGCUCAUCUCCCUCACCUCCGCGGCCUCCGGCUCCGACUGCCCGCUCGCCGCCGCCUGCGACCUCAACGUGCACCUCCCGCUGCAGGGGGAGGUCUGUCCCUUCGGCCUCGCGCCCGUCACCUCCACCGCCAUACAGAUGGUCUUCGGCGACACCGUCGUCGCCGCCAUCAUGGAGGCGCGCCGCCUCACCAGGGACCAGUACGCGUCAAACCACCCCGCCGGAAAGAUCGGAAAGACCCUCAUCUUCAAGGUUAAGGAUGUCAUGAAGAAACAAAAUGAGCUUCCAUUGUGCAAGGAGGGAGAUAUGAUAAUGGAUCAACUUACUGAGCUCACUAGUAAAGGUUGUGGCUGUCUUCUUGUGGUUGAUGAUGAGUAUCAUCUGAUUGGAACUUUCACCGACGGAGACCUCCGGCGUACACUCAAGGCAAGCGGGCCAGCUAUUUUCAGUCUAACAGUUGGAGAGAUGUGCAACAGGAACCCAAGGACAAUCACCGCGGAUGCAAUGGCCGUUGAAGCCAUGGAGAAGAUGGAGUCGCCCCCUUCACCUGUGCAGUUCCUGCCUGUCGUCGAUGACAAAAACGUCGUGUCUGGGAUAAUUACACUGCAUGGGUUGGUCUCCGCUGGAUUGUAA